rnacentral:rRNA from 1 species
AGCAGUAGCCGCGGGAACACGGAGGGUGCGAGCGUUAAUCGGAAUAACUGGGCGUAAAGGGCACGCAGGCGGUUAUUUAAGUGAGGUGUGAAAGCCCCGGGCUCAACCUGGGAAUUGCAUUUCAGACUGGGUAACUAGAGUACUUUAGGGAGGGGUAGAAUUCCACGUGUAGCGGUGAAAUGCGUAGAGAUGUGGAGGAAUACCGAAGGCGAAGGCAGCCCCUUGGGAAUGUACUGACGCUCAUGUGCGAAAGCGUGGGGAGCAGACAGGAUUAGAUACCCCCGUAGUCCCUGUCUCUUAUAA